rnacentral:piRNA from 1 species
UUGGGUGUAUUGCCUACAUCAGAGCUUGGU